rnacentral:rRNA from 1 species
AAGAGUGACCAUAUCAGCACUAAUGCAUGGGAUUCCAUCAGAACUCUGAAGUUAAGCGUGCUUGGGCGAGAAUAGUUCUAAGAUGGGCUUGUCUUAUGAUUUUCAUAGACACAGGCU